CCGGCGACCGGCGGACGGGUGCGUAACGCGUAUGUAACCUACCUUUGACAGGGGGAUAACAUCGAGAAAUUGGUACUAAUACCCCAUAACAUCACCGGAGGCAUCUUCGGUGGUUGAAAACUCAGGUGGUCAGAGAUGGACAUGCGUUGUAUUAGCUAGUUGGUGAGGUGACGGCUCACCAAGGCGACGAUACAUAGGGGGACUGAGAGGUCAACCCCCCACAUUGGUACUGAGACACGGACCAAACUCCUACGGAAGGCAGCAG
rnacentral:rRNA from 1 species